rnacentral:hammerhead_ribozyme from 1 species
CUUCAGCUGACGAGUCCCAAAUAGGACGAAACGUGCUUCCUGGAU